rnacentral:lncRNA from 1 species
UGUACUACAUCUCCGAAUCUGUUGACGAAAAUAAUAAAUAAAAUUUCAUAGAAUGUGUCCCGAAAAGUGAAUAGCCGCUGAACCAAUGCAUUUAUAAUCUUUUUUUUAAUCAUACUAUUUACUAUUUUUUAAGUAAUUCACUAGUAGCAUACUUAAAAUGCAUUUAUAAAUACUACUGUUUAUGAUUAUUUUUACGUAAUCAUACUAUUUUUAACAUACUUAAUGUUUUAAAGAUUAGAGUAGGAUUCGAUUAGAAAAGAAGUCGUACCGAGGAAGUCCGGAGUGAUGAGGCCGUCGGAGAAUUUGCCGUUGGGAUCAUCUCGAGAUUUUCCGUACGGCCAGAAACCUUGAGCGACUAAGGUUUUGGUGAGAGUCUGUUUGUUUCCGGCGUCGAAGUUGGAGUCACCAAAGGUGAACAAGGCGACCACCGGACUAUUCUGUCCGGCGACAGUGAUGGGGUUGUGAAAGAGGGUCAAUACCAAAAUUACACAUAGAACACUGACUAAAUUACAGUUGUUUGCCAUCAUUUAGAGAGAGGGAGAAACAGAACUGUGAAAAGAGAAGAAGAUUGCUUUUGUGCCUUAGCUCGUAGACCGAUUCGUUAUAUUUAUAUUGCAAGUACUACAAUUUGGCAAUGAAAAUAAUAGUUCAUUUUACUAUACAAAUAAUAACGUGUAGCGCGAGGUUCAUUUUACUAUACACCUAUUUAACGCACUAGCAAACGAUUAUCGAUCAAUUAUAUUAUAUAGUUCGCUUAAUCACGUCUGACGCAUUACUGGUUUCUCUUCUACUUUAUUUUUAAUUCUCAACAAAAUAUCUAUUGUUACUACGAGUACCAAGAAAGAUCGUGCUUUUUUUUUUUUGGUUCAACAACAACUUACAAUUACACAAGAGUCUGAAUACACAUAAGCUUUAACCCAAUCCGGCAAUAUAGAAUACAAUUUGGGAUCAUAAUUCAGAAAAGAAAGAGAUUCCCUAGCAAUUCUAUCUGCCACACAAUUCCCUUCUCAUCGGGUAAAAGUCACUUUAACCUCUUCGAAGUGCUGAAAAGAUCGUGCAUUUAGAGGCAAGAAGUAGAAUUAAACAUACAAAUUUCACGGAAAUAUAGGGUGUAAAUGGUAACACUAAACCAGAUUCAGUAAUUUCUGCAGUAACCAUUUGCAUAAAACUAAAUUUUGCUGACUAGCCAAAUUCAACAAAAAAAUUUCAACACCAACAUAUACGUAGAUAUGUUUAUUUCUGCUAAAACUUUUGGAUAAUUUACGAGUACACAACUCGAAUUAAAAUAUUUUUAAUAUCAAAAUACAUAUCAAAUAGAUAUUUUUAAAUAAGUCAGAUUAUACUGAUACGAUAUAUGAAUAAUAUAGAUACAUAAAAUAUCACUACCAGAAUAGACAAGAGACGAAUAUGUUCGGAUAAUUAUAGAUAAUUUGGAUAAUAAUUUUAAUAACGUUUAGAUAACUUAAAUCAAUUAUUAAAAUUUUGCAAAAACAACUCAUACCUAUGCUAAGAUAUUCUUUAAAAGAUAAAUUAUAGUAAUUUCCUUAAUCAUCCUCAUCAUAUUAUUGAUUAAAUUACUUGAAAACAAUUAAAAAAAACAAUUAACAAUCUAUAUUUUAUCAUCAUGUUAAUUUUUGAAAUUAUUUUCUUAAUAGUGUUUUGACAAAGAUUUUCGUUAAUUAUUUACAUAUUUUUAAUAGUUCAAAUUUAAAUAAGAAAGAAUAACUCAAUUUUGCGUUGACACAAUCUUAAUAGUAUAGGUAAUAGCUUAGUUAUGUAUAUAUAAAUUAUAAAAACUUGUGGAGAGUUGUUCCUUAAGAUUUACAGUGAAGAUUAGAGAAGAUUAAGUUUUGAGAGAGUGUCUAUAUCAAAUACAGAAGAGUUGGUCCUUAUUCGUUUGUAAGUUCUAGUAAUUAUCAAUUUGAUUGGAAUCAUUAGAACGACAGAAAGGUGAACAAUUUUGUUUCUAAAAGAGUGCAGAAACUAGAUAAAAAUAAAACACAUUUGCUUACGUGAAGAUGAAGUUUUAUAUGAAGAACGCCUCAUUUGUUUGGUUCAUCUAUUAUCUAUAUAUAUGAUUUUUGGUUUUAUUUCAUAUGAAAAUUAACUGUAAAUAUAGCCGGCCCCAAAGCCAGAUGUAUAAACUUAUCUUUUCUGGAACUUUAUAAUUUCUACUUUUUAUUUUCUUUGUUGCCAAUCAUUUCGAAUAUUACCUUGCAAGAAUAAUUGCAAACAAAAAAAGAGGGUAAAAAAGGUCUCAAAUUGAAUCCACUACCUUCUUAAAUUGAUUCCACCAAAAUUUAUCAUUUUGUUCUAAUGGAGUGCAUGUGGCCCGAAACUUGUCUAAUCUGAGCACAAAGCAGGUCAUUGGACACGCUUUGGUUCAUAUUGUCAGGUUUAUCACGUUACUCAUUGAGAUUUUUCUUAUGGAAAAAACAGAGUUGAGGUUACAUUAUUAUUUUAAAUCUCAACAAAUUAAUAACAGCGCAUUUCAAAUUCCAAGAGCUCGUUCAUGGUAUAGAGAUGGAAAAUAGUGAGCUCAAGAACUAAACGAGUUAGAUAGAUUCACUAGCAUCGACGUCGACGUCAUGGACUAACGAUGAUAUUCUCAUCCAUUGGAUCCUCCCAAAACUCACGCAUAGGCUCAUUAACAGGAUACACAAUGAGCUCACGAACAUUCAUAGGUUGGAUAACAUUUGGGUCCGCUCCAAAAGAUAAGAUGAUGAGAAAACGCUUCUUGUGCCUUCUUUUUUUAAUUAUGGAAUUACCUUUUAAUAUGUGGUUGACAAAAAAAAGAAAUAAAUUUAUGUAAAAGUUUUGUUUCUUUUAAAUAAAAGAUUUGCAAGGGGUAAGAGUUGCAGAGAUCAAUCUUUUAUUAUGGAGGAAAACUCACUAGAGAAACAUGAAAACAUUGGAAAUUAAAACUACUCAAGAUUCCGAUAUUGAUCCAGUUAUAAUUUGACUCAUAACCCUUAUAGAAACCCCGAUCGAUCCCUAAAUAUUGAUUUUAGAGACUCAGUAAUACUCGUAACCGCGGCUCUCCCUGAGUUGAACGGUGGCUGACGUUGGGGGCACCCAAGACUCACGCAUAGGUUCAUCGGCAGGGUAAACGACAAGCUCACGGAUGUUCAUCGGUUGGAUAACAUUUGUAUCGGCUCCAAAAAGAAGAUGACCAAACAUCUCUUGCGCCUUCUCAGUGUUGUGACGUCCGUCGAAGAAUAGGUAAGACCGUUGGUACUCGCAUAGCCUCGAAUGUACGUUAGGAAAACCGCAACCAUAAGCAUCAUGUGUCCCAACUCCGCAGCACGAUGCGUUCGUAACGAAAAAUCCUAAGAAUGGCAAAUAUUAAACACAUGGUAUUAGAAGUUAUAAAAAAAUUUAAAAAUGAAAUUAAACCAUGAUAAUUAACCAACUCACGGAAGUUUUGGUUCCUCUGCGUCCUAGUAAGAAUCGCGUUGUAGAAAUCAAAGACGGUGAAUUGGAAAGGAGCUGAUGCAGGAGCUGUUCUAGCCAAUUCGUUCAACAUCGGUCCAAUUUUUUCGUUGUGUUGUUUAGCCAAAUCGUUGAGUUUCUCAUAGCAUUGAUCCAUCCCGGUGUUGAACUCUUGUCUGACGAUGGGUAAGCAACCCAAUGGAGCUAGGGUUUGGAUCACAAAUUUACUCGCUCCUGAUGAAUACAACAAGCUGAUAUCGUUCUUUAACUUGUUGGUCACGGAAGUGACAAAAGCUUGUUGAGUAGAUGCAUCGGCGUUAGGGUUGUUCUUGGUGAAAUUCAAGUAAUCGUUUGCACCAAUGUAUAUCAUAAACACUGACUUCUUCACGAAAUCAUCAUUCCAAUUUGCUGCUUUCAUUUGAUUGAACUUUCUCACUUGUUGAUUCAGAGUCAACUAAAAAAACAAAAAAAGACAAAAAGACAAAAUUAUAAUUGCAGUUAAAGUCAGAUGUCUUUAAUAAAACAAAAAUAUGCCGUUUAGUAUGAUCCAGGCUAGUCCAUAAGACAGGUCAAGCACAUGCUUUAGACCAGAAGAUAUAUACUAAAUCAUUCGCCAAAAAAAAUAAAAACAGUAAUUUGGUAAAACCUUUAAUAUAUUUUAUAUCAUUAAGAAGGCCAUCUUCCAAUUGUGCUAAGGCCACCUGAAGGUAAAUUAAGGACCGGCUAUGUAUGACCGGGUCAAUAAAAGACAGACAUGGUUCAUUUAUUUUGAAUAAGAUGAUUAUAGUAAGAAAUUAAGUUGACUUACAGAUUCCACCGGAGCUCCGAGUAGAGUAGCAUCAGCGACGGCGAAACUAGCUCCACGUGAGACAUUGACGUUCGGUUGAAGGGCCGGCGGGAUCACGAUCGGAAUCCUCAUGAAUUUAGCUGCAUUUUGUACAUUAAAUAUAUUAGGUUUUCAUAUAAUACAAAUAUAAUCUCCGAAUCUGUUAACGAAAAAAAAUCAAAAAAAAAUCCAUGUGUUUCGAAAAGUGAAUACCAGCUGAACCUUUUUUAUUUUUAAAAUAUUUUAACCGUUAUUUUUAGUAAUUAACUAAUAUCCAACACUCGUCAUUUGUACUAACGUUUUAAAUGAUAAAAAAUAUCAUUUUGCAUGUUUUAUGUUUUGUAGAAUUCGGAUUAAGAUCUUUCAGUUAUACAAACAAAAAAAUGUCGCACCGAGGAAGUCUGGAGCGAUGAGGCCGUCGGAGAAUUUGCCGUUGGGAUCAUCUCGGGAUUUUCCAUACGGCCAGAAAGUUUGAGGGAGUAAGGUUUUGGUGAGAGUCUGUUUGUUUCCGGCGUCGAAGUUGGAGUCACCAAAGGUGAACAAGCCCACCGCCGGAAUAUUCUGCCCGGCGACGGUGAUGGGUUUGUUAAAGAGGGUCAAUACCAAAAAUACACAUAGAACACUGACUAAAUUACAGUUUUUUGCCAUCAUUUAGAGAGUAUACAGAGAGAGAGAAA